UAGGGAAUCUUCGGCAAUGGACGGAAGUCUGACCGAGCAACGCCGCGUGAGUGAAGAAGGUUUUCGGAUCGUAAAACUCUGUUGUUAGAGAAGAACAAGGAUGAGAGUAGAAUGUUCAUCCCUUGACGGUAUCUAACCAGAAAGCCACGGCUAACUACGUGCCAGCAGCCGCGGUAAUACGUAGGUGGCAAGCGUUGUCCGGAUUUAUUGGGCGUAAAGCGAGCGCAGGCGGUUUCUUAAGUCUGAUGUGAAAGCCCCCGGCUCAACCGGGGAGGGUCAUUGGAUACUGGGAAACUUGAGUGCAGAAGAGGAGAGUGGAAUUCCAUGUGUAGCGGUGAAAUGCGUAGAUAUAUGAAGGAACACCAGUGACGAAGGCGGCUCUCUGGUCUGUAACUGACGCUGAGGCUCGAAAGCGUGGGGAGCAAACAGG
rnacentral:rRNA from 1 species